GCAAGUCGAACGGUAACAGACGGAAGCUUGCUUCUGUGCUGACGAGUGGCGGACGGGUGAGUAAUGCAUAGGAAUCUACCCAGUAGUGGGGGAUAACGUGGAGAAAUCCACGCUAAUACCGCAUAUGUUCUACGGAACAAAGCAGGGGACCUUCGGGCCUUGCGCUAUUGGAUGAGCCUAUGUUGGAUUAGCUUGUUGGUGGGGUAACGGCCUACCAAGGCAACGAUCCGUAGCUGGUCUGAGAGGAUGAUC
rnacentral:rRNA from 1 species